UAGGGAAUCUUCGGCAAUGGGACGAAGUCCUGACCGAGCAACGCCGCGUGAGUGAAGAAGGUUUUCGGAUCGUAAAGCUCUGUUGUAAGUCAAGAACGAGUGUGAGAGUGGAAAGUUCACACUGUGACGGUAGCUUACCAGAAAGGGACGGCUAACUACGUG
rnacentral:rRNA from 1 species